rnacentral:rRNA from 1 species
AUACAGAGGGUGCGAGCGUUAAUGGGAAUUACUGGGCGUAAAGCGCGCGUAGGCGGCUUGGUCAGUCGGAUGUGAAAGCCCCGGGCUCAACCUGGGAAUGGCAUUCGAUACUGCCAGGCUAGAGUAUGGGAGAGGGAAGUGGAAUUUCCGGUGUAGCGGUGAAAUGCGUAGAUAUCGGAAAGAACACCAGUGGCGAAGGCGACUUCCUGGCCCAAUACUGACGCUUAGGUGCGAAAGCGUGGGGAGCGAACAGGAUUAGAAACCCUAGUAGUCC